rnacentral:rRNA from 1 species
CAAUAGCGUAUAUUAACGUUGUUGCAGUUAAAAAGCUCGUAGUUGGAUUUCUGGAGGGAGCGUCGGCCCGUAUUUACGAGUGCGUGACGUCUCUGUCCAUCCUUGCGGGAAGGCACGGCAUUGAUUUGUUGUGUCGGAUCGCAUCAUUUACUGUGAAAAAAUUAGAGUGUUCAAAGCAGGCUUUCGCUUGAAUACAUUAGCAUGGAAUAAUAAGAUAGGACUUUGGUGCUAUUUUGUUGGUUGAGCCUAAAGUAAUGAUUAAUAGGGAUAGUUGGGGGCACCUGUAUUGCGUUGUCAGAGGUGAAAUUCUUGGAUUUACGCAAGACAAACAGCUGCGAANGNGUCUGCNAAGGAUGUUUNCAUUG